AUUGAACGCUGGCGGCAUGCCUUACACAUGCAAGUCGAACGGCAGCACGGGUGCUUGCACCUGGUGGCGAGUGGCGAACGGGUGAGUAUAUAUCGGAACGUACCUUAUUGUGGGGGAUAACGCAGCGAAAGCUGUGCUAAUACCGCAUAAUCCCUAAGGGGGAAAGCGGGGGACCGUAAGGCCUCGCGCAAUUAGAGCGGCCGAUACCUGAUUAGUUAGUUGGUGAGGUAAAGGCUCACCAAGGCAACGAUCAGUAGCUGGUCUGAGAGGACGAUCAGCCACACUGGGACUGAGACACGGCCCAGACUCCUACGGGAGGCAGCAGUGGGGAAUUUUGGACAAUGGGGGCAACCCUGAUCCAGCAAUGCCGCGUGAGUGAAGAAGGCCUUCGGGUUGUAAAGCUCUUUUGUCAGGGAAGAAACAGCAGCUCUAACACAGUUUGCGAAUGACGGUACCUGAAGAAUAAGCACCGGCUAACUACGUGCCAGCCGCCGCCGUAACAC
rnacentral:rRNA from 1 species